rnacentral:lncRNA from 1 species
CCAAACAUGCCAUUUCAUAAUCUUAAUAUUUAAUUUAUAUUGUAUAUAACCAUCCAAGGUUAAUUUAUAAUACCAUUCACAAAAAUAUUUCAAAAUGACAUAUACAAUCAAGCUAGGUACAUGCCAUUUUACAAAAGAGAAUAUACAUCACCACUUUACUGAGUUCGGGAUUGGCUUGGAUGCUGAUCCUAAACUUUUGAAUUCAACUUACCUGCACACGGAAACAAUUGUACGCUGAGUAUAUACACUCAGUGGUAUUACUAUAAUUUAAAUUUUAAAAGCAAAAUAAAUAAAUAAGCACUAAACCUUCAUUUGUUAACAAUAGCUAUUUCAAAUAACUUUUCUCCAUUUUGAUUCACACAUUAUUUCACCAUAUCAAAAACCCAUUCCAUAAACCCAUGGUUUAAACAUUUUGUUUUCAUAUCUCGGUUCAAUAUCUCAUUCCAAUCAUAUACAAAAUCAUACGGUUUAUCAAUUCAUUUAAUACCAAUUCUACUUUCCAAUUCGUUCACUUACCCCUAUUAACUUGACACGAACUUUGACGGAUGCACGGAUCCAAUCAAGCACUCGAGUAUGGCACCAUGUGCCUCAUCGGGCUUGCCAAAAUGAAUCCGUACCUAGUACCUCAUCGAAUUUAAUUCGAAGCAAUACUACGACACAUAGUGCCUCAUCAGAAUUAUCCGAAGCAAUAUUACGACGCAUAUAGUGCCUCAUACACUCGAGGUCAAAAUAUCCUUAAACACGUCCAAUCCUAUGGCAUGCCAAUUAUAUCCGACUUAGCCCGACUAGUUAAUAGGGUUUUCAAUUCACUUUCUCAAUUCAAUUUCAAUCAAAUUCAUACCAAUCACAAAUUCUCAUUUUUUUUGGUAAAGAACAAAAUGAAAAAACUAAUUAGUUACAUCCAACACACUGCAAAAAAACCUUUUGACUGGUCUAAAUCUAACAUAUUCCGCACCCUAAGAGAAGGAGUAUCAAAAAAUUGCAAAUCCGUUCUAGUCGAUAGUGCUUCUAUUGCCAUGCAAUCAACAACUUCAUAUUGUUUUUUGGGAAUAUAGAAAAAAACACCAUGAACUUUCCUGGAAUAGCAUACUCUGAAUUAGCCUGAUUAAAACAGAGUUCGAGGUGGCAGAAUUACUUCCUUGAAUAUCAAGAAUGACAUCCGAGCUGUCCGAGAGAAUUAUAACACACUCAUGGCCUUUUCUUUGAAUAAUUUUAAGCCCUUAAAAAAUGCCCCAAAGUUCAGUAUCGAAGAUCGAACACUCUCCAAGAAAUCUAUUAAAUCCAAAGAACUACUGCCCAUCCAUGUCUCUCGCAACUCCCCCAACAGAUGCAUUCUCCGUAUCCAGUCGUAUAGCUCCAUCGAUAUUCAGAAAAAUAAUAAAACCAUUAGCUUGCUCUUCCAACAGGGGGUCAGGAACACCACUCAAAACGUCUUUAGGGAUUGAAAAACUUUGAGAAGCCCAACCAAAUGAAUUAUUGACAAUCUCUCUUAAGCACCACGGGUGGCCUUGAAAGAUAAAAAGAUUGCAGUUUUUCCAAAUUCGCCAAACCAAGAUUUUGAAAAGGCAAGCCCAACUAGCACCACCCGCCAAGGCUAUCGAAGUGUCCUGCACGUUAAUAAGUAUCCAAUAUUGUAAGUUAAGGGAAAAAAAUUGGUAGAGCGAUUACCUAAUAUGAUCUGACUCCACACAUCCUUGGCUACAGGGCAAUCUCGAAGAAUGUGAAGUAUGUAUUCCAAAUGAAAUCCACAAAUAUGACAAGAGGUACCAUCCGCAAAACCCUUUUUACCCCUUUCAAUGUUGCUGAGUAUACGCUGCUUGAGAACCAACCAUAUGAAAAAACAAACUCUUUGUGAACCCGAAAUCUUCCAAAUAAUCUUCCAUUUAUCAUCCUUCAAAAUCCAAUCAAUUCCUUUACAAAUCUUAUAAGCACUCUUAAUCUUAAAGAUUCCAGUUGAAGUAUGACACCAGGAAAUUCUGUCCGGUCCUAUAUAAGAGCAAUGAGAAGGAAUACCGAAAUACCCAUAAUCAACUCAAUCACCUCUUCUGAAAGCCAAAUUCUGAACAAGUCAAGAUUCCAUGAUCCUUCAUUAUUGACCAUAUCUUUAAUAUAGCAAUCAAAGCUAAAAUUAAUACCUGUUGGAAUAAAUCCGGUCGAUGGACCCACAUCGGGAAUCCAAACAUCUUCCCAACAGCGAAUCUGGCUUCUGUCCUCAACGGACAAUUAUAACUUCUCGUGAAGCAGAGGCCAAACCUUAGUGAGAGAGUUCCAAAGAAACAAACCUCGCUUAUGCCUAAUGAAAUUGGGGAGUACAUCAAUCAUCCGGUAUUUAACCCUAAUAACCUGAACCCAGAGAACCUCUUUGUUAGUCCCAAUAUUAAAACCCAACUUAAGCAGAAAAAAGAUUCUGUUCUGAUAAUUUCCGUAAUCCAAGCCCUCCACAACAUUUGGGUUGGCAAAUAGAAUCCCACCUAACCAAGGCCAUCUUAUUUUAUACUCAGAUGAUCUCCAAAUGAACUGCUACACCAAACUUUCAAUCUCAUUUCAAACUCCCCUAGGAAUCAUCAUGGAUUGCAUAAAGUAACUGAGAAUAGACAUGAGAACUGAUUGAGCCAAAGUUAUGCGACCAGCAAUGGGUAAACUUUUAGCGUCCCAACUUUGGAGCUUUCUUCUAACUUUGUCGACAACAAAAUGCAUGGUACUAUUAGUAACCCUAUGAUGAAACAACGGAAUACCAAGGUAAAGCCCAAGAUUCUGAACUUUAUGGAACCUAAAAAAAUAACUAAUCGAGUCAGCCAAAGGAAGAUGCGAUCAAGGAGCAGAAAGAAGCAUUCAAAAUUAAAAAAGAUAAUCAGAUAAACCAUAGUAAGACUGAGCAGGUCAAAAAAUCACAAUUCAGUCAAGAAGUCAAGCUGGAAAAGAAUUGCCCCAACAGUCGAGGCGAAUCAAAGACAAGAUGGUAAUAGCAUACGAAAGAGGAAAUCCAUAGAAGCAGGAAUCGAAACUGGAUUGUGAUAAAGUUUUUCCAUGAAUGAUGUUUGAAAAUAUAGAGCAGAAUGUUGUUCCAUCAAUUAUGGGAUCGACGGCUGCCAAGAAGCAAGCGACCGAAUCCAAUAAAAAAUAUUAGUUAGAAUUUUCGUGGACUAAGGAGUCCACAGGCGGUAAAAAGGCUACAAUUUUUCUUAAAACAGCAUGGAAAAAGUAACAAGUUGCGAUUUUUUAAAUGGGAUCGUUGUUGAAGCAGAGGGUUCUCAAGGUAGAUUGUGUUUGGCAUGGAAGGGGGAUAUUACGAUUAGUUUAAGGAGCUUUUCAAAAAGUCACAUUGAUGUAUUGAUCAAAGAAGAGAAUGUAAUAGAGGAAUGCAGAUUUACGGGGUUUUAUGGUUCACCUUAUGUGAAAAACGAAAAUGAUACUUGGAAUCUGCUAAAAAAAUUGGGGCAAGGUCAGAAUGGUUAGUAAGCGGAAACUUCGAUGAAUCAUGUACUCUUUUGAGAAAAGUGAAUGUGUUCCAAGAUAAGAGAGACUAAUAGAGGCUUUUCGAGAGACUUCGGAGGAAUGUUAAUCAGAAGAUUUGGGUUAUUUGGGAGUCUAGUUUACUUGGGAAAGGGGAAAUUUGCCAAAAAAAAAAUCAAGGAAACACUUGACAAGGGAGCUGCGAAUGAUAAAUGGUAGCAUCUUCUUCCAUUGGGUAUUGUUCAUCAUUUAACUCAUACAAUGUCAGAUCAAUGCGCAUUUCUUCUAAAUACUGAUAGCAUAAACAAUUAUAUGGGAUGUUCAAACUUUAAAUUUAAGGCAUGGUAGACCAUGGUUCAGUCUCUCGAAAGACAAAUCAAGGCAACAUAAGAAUCAUCCACAAGCACAAUAGUUGAGAAACUAAAACAACUGCAGCUGAGUUUAUGAAGAUGGGCACUAAGGAUUAAAAAAGGGUGAGAGGGGCUAAAAAGACGGCUAUUGAAUGAACUUGAAGUCUUGUUUGCAAUAAAAAGGGAUCAUUAUAAGAUGGCAAAUAUUAUUGAAACAAGAGUUCAUCUUAAUCUGGAAAUUGAUUAAGAUAAGAUGUACUGGAAACAAAGGGCAAGGGCUAACUGGCUUAAAUUAGGGGAUAAGAACUUAAGCUUUUUUCACAAGUAUGCUUCAACACGUCAACAGAGAAACAUAAUUUCCAGGUUAAAGUUAGAUGGAGGAGUUGAGGUUACUGAUGCAAUUGAGAUUAGGAAGCCUAUACAUUAUUUUUUCAGAAGCUGUUUACGAUAAGAUAUUAAUGCAAUUUUAAUAUAUACUUAUACAACAGAGGAAGCUCAUUCGCCUUUGAGAGGAAUGGGGCCUACUAAGGCACCAAGACCAGAUGAUUUUCCAGCAUUUUUCAGAGAUUUUGGCACAUAGUAGGUCAAGACAUCACCAUUUAUUGUUUAGGGGUUUUGAACAACUAUCUAAAUUUAGACUCUUUUAAUCAGACAGAUAUUGUAUUGAUCCCAAAAACCUCAAAUCCCACUAAUCUGGUCAACUACAAGCCUAUUAGUUUGUGCAUGAUUUUUUACAAAGUUAUGGUAAGAACAAUUGCAAAUCGACUUCAAGAAGUAAUUGGGAGAUAUAUUGAUUUGGCUCAAAGUGCGUUUGUCACUAGGAGAUUAAUUUUUGAUGCUGUGCUCAUAACUUAUGAAAUCUUGCAUACGUUUCGCCAAAAGAAAACAGGGAAAAAAGGAUAUAUGGUAGUAAAACUUGACAUGAGUAAAGCCUACGACUGAGUUGAAUGAGGCUUUAUAAAAAAAGUUAUGCUACGAAUGGGGAUUGCAAAACAAUGGGUAAAACUUAUUAUAAAAUGCAUUACCACAAUUUCAUAUGCAAAUAAUAUCAAUGGCAGUAGGGGAAGAAUUUUCCAGCCAUGUAACAUCUCGAAUAACGGCCCAGUCAGAAUAGUGAUUUCGAGACCACAAAUCUAAUAUAAAAAUAAUUAUUUUAUGAAUGUUACGAGGUCCAUGAUAUAUAUGCAUGCUUGUAUGAAAAUAUCGAUAAGAAACCUUACCGAUAAGAUGUCUAAUUGAGUUAUUAAGACUAAAUUGCAAUAAGUGAAAAACAUGUGUUCUAAUUGAUUUAAGGGCUUAAUUGUAAUGAGAUUUGAAAUUUAAAGUUCUUAAUUGGCAAUUAGACCAUUAUAUGUCAUUAUAAACAAAAAUGGACAUAGGAGGGAUAAACUACCAAAGUAAUAAAGGAUAAACUGUCCUCGUUUUUAAUGUUCUUUAUAUUUUUCAAAUCCUCAUAGCUCGAUUUAGCUAUUUCUACCCUUAAUUUGAGUUAAGGUUCAUGUUCAAAAACAUACACAUGAAUGACAUUCUUGUGUUUUAAUAUUAUCUUCCAAGUCCGAGAAAAGGGGCGUAUGUGAAAGGAAUCACAAGAAAGAUACGGAUGAGUAUGGCAAGGGCAACGGCAACAAUAGUGGUAAUCGAAAACCACGAGUUGGGAAGAAGAAACUAAUGGAAGAAUAUGGAGUUUUGAGAUAGGUGAUUUUUGGUAAAAUUGAUAAAAAAGACCAAAUUAUAAAAGUUCUAAAAACUGUGUAAAUGUGUGACUAAAAUAAAUAUGUGGGUCAGUAUAAGAGGGAAAAUGAUUCGACUAGGCUUGAAUAAUGAGCAAAAUCAGUACUCCGCAUUUUGCGAGUUUAUGGCAAUUUUAUAAUUUUGUAAAAUUUUAAGGACAAAAUUAUAAUUUUUUCCAUAUCAUAAUUUUUGAACUGAAAUGAAUAAUGCGUGUAUUAAAUAAACUAAAUUUUCUAUUAUAGAUCAAGAGGGACGAGGGAUAGACCUUAACCGAGAAAAAGGCAAGGUUGUGAAAUAAAUCACAAAUUUGCCAUAUUUUACACUGUGGUAAGUUGUGUACAAGCAAUUCAACAACUCCAAUAUUACAUAUCUAAUAUUUGACAUUACAUGAUACAUGUAUGUAUGCCUUAAUUAGAUUGACUUGUGAUUAUCCAAUGAAAGUUUAGUGAUAGCCUCGUGUAUUGAAGGCCCGGGUGACCCAAAGGAAUACUUAGAACUUAGAUGUCUUGACGCCAUGUUAAAUGAUAUUCUGUGUAAGAUUAUGUCUGAGACAUAGCAUCGCCUAUGAUAUAUUUACCUGUGUAAAACCAUGUCUGGGACAUGACAUCAACAAUGAUAUAUGUACCUGUGUAAACCCAUGUAUGGGACAUAGCAUGACAUCAACGAUGAUAUGUGUGCCAAUGUAAGAACAUGUCCAGAACAUGGCAUAGGUUAUGAAAUGUGCACAGUAUAAGACCAUGUCACAGACACGGCAUCAAUGAUAAUAUGUGAAUUCAUGUAAGACCAUGUUUUAGACAUGACAUUGGUACCUUAUUUGGUGUAUGACAUUCAAGAUAUUGGGUUAAGUGGAAUGAUGAGUAAGCACAUACAGUGCAAAUAUGUGCAAAUAUGUACGUAAACCUCAUGAGUAUUGAACUCAAUUCAUGAAGAGAAUUUUAACAAUAGAAAGAUGUAAGAUAAGCUUAAUGUUUAAUGACAAUUAAUGUCAAUUUUGACUACGUUCAUGUGUAUAGUAUGAUAUUAUAGUGAUAGUUGAUAAUAUGUUUAAUCCAUGAAUAUCUUGACUUACUAAACCCUAUGCUUACCCUUUUCACCUUUCAAAUUUCUUCUAACAUCGUCAAGCUCGAGAAUCGUGGACAUCGAAGCUUGAGUCACAAUAUCAACAAAACUUUUGGGGUAAAACUGGUUUACUACAUUUAAGAAUGGCAUGUAUAGAAGAGACAUUUAUCUAUCAAGCAUAAAUUUCACAUGACCGUAUGUCUACAUUUAAGUAUGGCAUAUAUAGAGGAGUCCCAAUUAGGUAAACUUAAUAUAUGUCAUGCUUAAAUUAAAGCUAUAGAUGUCAAAAAAAACUUUUUAUGCCAUGUCAACCACUAUUGGCUAUUGGCAUGUGAGUGUGUGUUGGGGCUAUUAACGGUGACAAGAGGGCUUGAAAAAUGGCUUCAAAGAUGUCCACAUGAGUAGACAUACGAUCAUGUGUCUAUACAGUGUGUGACACACAGUCAACCCCGUGAGCGUGUGAUCCGACCGUGUGUUCCCUGCUCUCUAAUUUUACAAAUCAAUAUGCAUAGUAAUAAAUACAAAGACAGAGACACGACCUUGUCUCUCAAUCGUGUUAAGAACACAACAUUCGAACAUGGGCAUUUGCCCGUGCCAUAUGAAAUUUGCAUCUUAUAUGAGAAAAUUAAUUUCGCCACACAGCCUAACACCUAGACAUGUAACUUAACCGUGUGAUAUUAAAUUUAUGCUGAGGUCAUAAAUAAAGAGCUACACAACCUAAGGACACAGAUUUGUCAAGGGGAACACAAGCUUGUCCUUAUGUUCACACGAACAUCAAACUUGUCCUUACGUUCACACGAGCAUCAAGCUUGUCCUUACGCUCACACGAGCAUGUGACCCUAUUUUAAAUUUUUUUUCUAAAAUACACAAUUUAGCCCAAAACCAACCCAAUGUAUGUUUUUAACCUCGCAAGCUCAUUUAAGUGACAAUAUGCAUAUUCUUAAAUAAAUUUUUAGUUUGAACAAAAUUUUAUGACCCGAUUUUAUAGAGUUGUUUAGAACUUCAAGCCCGAUAAUACCUCACAUCCUAUCUCGACGUUGAACACUAGUAAAGGGUCUUACAAGCCAUCUGGAGGUUUACAGGAAGGGAAUCCUCUUAGACCUUUUCUUUUUCUAAUAUGCAGUGACAAAAAGAAGGUUUGUUGAAAGGUACAAAGGCCAAUAGGAGAGGCCCAGAGAUAUCAUAUUUACUUUUUGUAGAUGACUGCAUUUUGUUCGUUGAAGCAACAAAGAAUGGAGCAAUAAUGAUGAAACAAAUUCUAAAGGAAUAUGAGUAUUGUUCAGGCCAGUGUGUGAAUUUUAAUAAAUGCACGAUAUUUUAUAGCUCGGAUACAGUAACAAGUAUAGACAAUUUUAAGGGUAAGGAGUUAACCAAAUUUGAAGAAAUACUUGGGACUUCCUAUUGUGGUUGGCACACGCAAGAAAGAAUCUUUUCAAAAUCUCAACGAUCGGGUCUAUUCUAGAAUUAAAGGUUGUAGCACAAAACUAUUAUCACAAAGAGGCAAACUGGUCUUUAUUAAAUCAGUGCUACAAGCUAUACCAACUUAUGCCAUGUCAUGCUUUCUUCUACCGAAAACUCUAUGCAAGGAGUUGAAAAACAUAUUUGCAAAAUUUUGGUGGCAGAGGAUACGGGGAGAAAGGUAUACAUUGAUGUCGGUAGAAGCAUAUGUGCCAAUCGAAAGAGGGGGGAGGAAUAGGUUUUAGAAGUAUGGGCCAAUUCAAUAGUGAUCUUUUAGUAAAACAAGGAUGGGGGAUUUUGAAUAAUCCAAAAUCUUUAGUUGAGCUAGUUUUCAAGGCAAAAUAUUUUCCAAAUGAGGAUUUUUUAAAUUCGCGUUUGGGAAAUAAUAGUUCGUAUACAUGGAAAAGCAUAUGGGCGUCCAAAGGGAUUUUAAUGGAAGGAAUUUGCUAGAAGCUGGGAAGGGGGCACGAGUAUCUCAUUUUUAAACGAUGCUUGGAUCCCAGUUGCAUGAAAUUUCAGAUUAUCUUCAGUUGUUAAUAAUUUAAAUGAUUUUAAAGUCGCUGAGUUAAUUGAUAAUAAUGUCAGAGAAUGGAAACGGGAGUUGAUUGUUAAUACCUUUUCGGAGGAAGUCGCUGCGAAGAUACUUAGGAUCACGUUGGCGAAAGAUCCUUAUGGUGACUUUCCGGCCUGGAAUGGUGAACCCUCGGGGGAAUACUUGGUACACAGCGCCUAUAAACUAUUACAAGCUUCUGAAAAUGAUCCUAGAGCUUAUGCUUUACAAACCGACUACAGUAAUUUCUAUAAAAAGCUAUGGCUACUUAAGCUACCUUCUAAAAUUAAAAGUACAGCUUGGAAAAUAUCUUGGAAUUAUCUGGCUACAUGAGUCAGCAUGCAGUAUAGAAAGUUAACAAAUACUGUAGUUUGCCCCCGAUAUGGAAGAGGAGCAGAAACCAUGGAUCAUUUAAUCCGUGAGUGUCCUCUAUCAGUUUCAAUGUGGACAGAAUUAGCAAUACCGAAUUUAUUACAGGAAACUAGUCUAGAGUUCCUACAGUGGCUUACCUGGGUUUUUGCUCAAAACGCUUAUUUCCAUUGUAGAUUAUUCUGUUGUGCGAUAUGGGCAACUUGGGGAGAAAGAAAUGCGAGAUUGCAUGAGAAAACUAGUAGAACAGGAAUAGAGACAGCACACUUUGUUAGAAGCUACAUUGCGGAAUUAGAUGGGGUUGAACAAAAAACCCCUAAAAUCUUACAAAUAGCCAGGAAGUGGAAGCACCCACCUGAACAAUCAGUUAAAAUAAAUUUUGAUGGGGCUUAUGAUGCGCGACUUUGUCAAUCAGCUUUAGGGGUUGUGGCGAGGAACAGUGAAGGGGAUGUUCUACUAUCAAGUUCCAAGAUACAUCAAGGCAUUUCCUCAGCUUUUGCGGCUAAGGCACUCGCUUGCCGCAAAGUAGAUUAGAUCGGAAUAGACAUGCAAUGGCCAAAGAUCAUAGUAGAAGGAGACUCAUUAACAGUAAUCAAGAAGUGUAAGGCAAAAAGACAAGAUAAGUCACAGAUAGGGGCAUACAUUCAAGAUAUUCAACAGCAUAUUCUCAGAUCUAGGAAUUUUGUGUUUGAAUACUCCUAGAACUGCGAACGGUCUAGUACAUAUUUUAGCAACUGAAACGAUGAAAAGGAAGGAAGUGGUUUACUUGGUAGGGAGCGCGCCUGGAUAUGCUGAUAACCAGUAUGAAAUAGAUAGAAAACGUGAACCAUAUUGAGAAAAGGGGCAGAUGAGAAGAGGAAGAAAGGAAAGUUCGAAAUGGGCAAAUUGCUGGUGCAGCGAUAAAUUCUCCUUGGGAUUAUGAGAUUGGCUUUAAGACGAAUCGGUUGAUGGGUGGUCAGACUGAUUGAUAGUGGAUGGGAUUGUAGAGGAAGAAAGGAAAGUUGAAAUGGACAGAUCAAGGGUUUGGUUUAAUGCUUUCCUUGAAAAUCUGAAACCGUCAUUAUGAAAAAUGACAGACUAAUAGUCAUACGGGGUUUUUUACUAAAAUAAAUUAAAAAAAAAUAUUUAUCAAAAUAGGUUGUCAGCCAGAUUAUUUAUCAAAAUGAG